AUUGAACGCUGGCGGCAGGCUUAACACAUGCAAGUCGAGCGAGCGGCGGACGGGUGAGUAAUGUCUGGGAAACUGCCCGAUGGAGGGGGAUAACGACUGGAAACGGUAGCUAAUACCGCAUACCAUCAGAUGUGCCCAGAUGGGAUGAGCUAGUAGGUGGGGUAAUGGCUCACCUAGGCGCCGAUCCCUAGCGGGUCUGAGAGGAUGACCAGCCACACGUGAACUGAGACACGGUCCAGACUCCUACGGGAGGCAGCAGUGGGGAAUAUUGCACAAUGGGCGCAAGCCUGAUACAGCCAUGCCGCGUGUGUGAAGAAGGCCUUCGGGUUGUAAAGCACUUUCAGCGAGGAGGCGUUACUCGCAGAAGAAGCACCGGCUAACUCCGUGCCAGCAGCCGCGGUAAUUC
rnacentral:rRNA from 1 species